CCCAGUCUCCACUCCUUCAAAAAAUUUUGAAAACCCACUUCUUCAUAAAAGCGUAUCAAUUAAACUUUUAAUAGCUCAUGACUGAUUCCUCUUCUGCAACUGUCACUAGUCUAAUACUAUCCUUACCUUUUUGUGUCAUUUUACCCCACUCCCUCUAGCAUGUAAGCGCAUUGAGCAGGGCCCUCAACCCCUCUGUUCCUGUGUGUCCAACUUGUCUG